UGGUUCAGUGGUAAAAUUCUUGCUUUCUAUGCAGGUGUCCUGGGUUCGAUUCCUGG
rnacentral:tRNA from 1 species